AAACAUCUUUUCUCCCCCAGGCUACUGAGCUAAAGUGAAGACUUCAUUCUUGCUAGAGAUUGAUAGAGAAAAGUGGGUCCCUGGGCACAGCCUGUCUUGCAGACAGCAGAAAGCUACUUUGGAACGUCCCUCUGGAGGUGGAUGAAGUUUUGUGUUUGCUCUACUGACCUGAAGUGAGGAACAACCACAUACAUCUUUGUCUUCACUCUGUCCAGCUGUCAACUGCAUUGUUCCCUCACGUCUUCCUGCAAAGUACCAUUAUUUCCACACCUUAAGAAUUAAAGAGUGAAGAGAAAACGACAAAAUGUUCUUGUUUAUCAGGAGAUGGGGGUGAGCUGAGCUUUCCACAAGGUCCUGAAUGGAUGAGAAGGACCCAAAACAUAUGGAAAAUAUGGAGAAUAGGGUAUAAGUAAUAAAAAUAAAAAUAAAAUAAAUAAAA
rnacentral:lncRNA from 1 species